rfam:Thermoactinomyces sp. Gus2-1 c23, whole genome shotgun sequence.
UUCUUAUCCAGAGAGGUGGAGGGACUGGCCCGAUGAAACCUCGGCAACGGGCUCUUCGGAGUACUGUGCCAAUUCCAGCAAGCGUUUUGAAGCUUGGAAGAUAAGAA